UACGUAGGGGGCGAGCGUUGUCCGGAUUUACUGGGCGUAAAGGGUGAGUAGGCGGUUAUAUAUGUCAGGUGUAAAAAGCUAUGGCUUAACCAUAGUAAUCACUUGAAACUGUAUGACUUGAGUGCAGGAGAGGUAAGCGGAAUUCCUAGUGUAGCGGUGAAAUGCGUAGAUAUUAGGAGGAACACCGGUGGCGAAGGCGGCUUACUGGACUGUAACUGACGCUGAGUCACGAAAGCGUGGGUAGCAAACAGGAUUAGAUACCCUGGUAGUCCCU
rnacentral:rRNA from 1 species